rnacentral:rRNA from 1 species
GAUGAACGCUGGCGGUGUGCUUAACACAUGCACGUCGAACGUGAUCUCUGUGGAAAUUCUUUCGGGAAUGGAAAUGAUAUGAAAGUGGCGAACGGGAGAGCAACACGUGAGCAAUCUACCUUAAACAGGGGGAUAGCCGUUGGAAACGACGACUAAUACCGCAUGAGACCACAGAAUCGCAUGUCAUAGGGGUCAAAGAUUAAUCGGUGUAAGAAGGGCUCGCGUCUGAUUAGCUGGUUGGAAGGGGAAAGGCCUACUACGGGGAGGAUCAGUAGCCGGUAUGAGAGAAUGGACGGCCACAUUUGAGCUAGGACACAGUCCAGACUCCUGCAGGAUGCGGCAAUGGGUAAUAUAGCACUAUGGGGUGAGCCCUGAUGCAGUGACGGCGGUUAAGCGAAGAAGUUUUGCAAAACAAAAAGCACUGUCCUAUGAGGAGGUAAUGACGGUAUCAAAGGAAGAAGCCCCGGCUAAAUACGUG